rnacentral:rRNA from 1 species
UACGUAGGGGGCUAGCGUUGUUCGGAAUUACUGGGCGUAAAGCGCACGUAGGCGGCUUUGUAAGUUAGAGGUGAAAGCCCAGGGCUUAACCCUGGAAUUGCCUUUAAGACUGCAUCGCUAGAAUCGUGGAGAGGUGAGUGGAAUUCCGAGUGUAGAGGUGAAAUUCGUAGAUAUUCGGAAGAACACCAGUGGCGAAGGCGACUCACUGGACACGUAUUGACGCUGAGGUGCGAAAGCGUGGGGAGCAAACAGG